AGCGAAACGGGAAGAGCCCAAACCAACAAGCUUGCUUGUUGGGGUUGUAGGACACUCUAUACGGAGUUACAAAGGACGACAUUAGACGAAUCAUCUGGAAAGAUGAAUCAAAGAAGGUAAUAAUCCUGUAGUCGAAAAUGUUGUCUCUCUUGAGUGGAUCCUGAGUACGACGGAGCACGUGAAAUUCCGUCGGAAUCUGGGAGGACCAUCUCCUAAGGCUAAAUACUCUCUAGUGACCGAUAGUGAACCAGUACCGUGAGGGAAAGGUGAAAAGCACCCCGGAAGGGGAGUGAAAUAGAACCUGAAACCGUGUGCUUACAAGUAGUCAGAGCCCGUUAAUGGGUGAUGGCGUGCCUUUUGUAGAAUGAACCGGCGAGUUACGAUUUGAUGCAAGGUUAAGCAGUAAAUGUGGAGCCGUAGCGAAAGCGAGUCUGAAUAGGGCGUUUAGUAUUUGGUCGUAGACCCGAAACCAGGUGAUCUACCCUUGGUCAGGUUGAAGUUCAGGUAACACUGAAUGGAGGACCGAACCGACUUACGUUGAAAAGUGAGCGGAUGAACUGAGGGUAGCGGAGAAAUUCCAAUCGAACCUGGAGAUAGCUGGUUCUCUCCGAAAUAGCUUUAGGGCUAGCCUCAAGUGAUGAUUAUUGGAGGUAGAGCACUGUUUGGACGAGGGGCCCCUCUCGGGUUACCGAAUUCAGACAAACUCCGAAUGCCAAUUAAUUUAACUUGGGAGUCAGAACAUGGGUGAUAAGGUCCGUGUUCGAAAGGGAAACAGCCCAGACCACCAGCUAAGGUCCCAAAAUAUAUGUUAAGUGGAAAAGGAUGUGGCGUUGCCCAGACAACUAGGAUGUUGGCUUAGAAGCAGCCAUCAUUUAAAGAGUGCGUAAUAGCUCACUAGUCGAGUGACACUGCGCCGAAAAUGUACCGGGGCUAAACAUAUUACCGAAGCUGUGGAUUGUCCUUUGGACAAUGGUAGGAGAGCGUUCUAAGGGCGUUGAAGCAUGAUCGUAAGGACAUGUGGAGCGCUUAGAAGUGAGAAUGCCGGUGUGAGUAGCGAAAGACGGGUGAGAAUCCCGUCCACCGAUUGACUAAGGUUUCCAGAGGAAGGCUCGUCCGCUCUGG
rnacentral:rRNA from 1 species